rnacentral:rRNA from 1 species
GCAAAACGCGAAGAACCUUACCAGGUCUUGACAUCCCGCUGACCGCUCUAGAGAUAGAGUUUUCCCUUCGGGGACAGCGGUGACAGGUGGUGCAUGGUUGUCGUCAGCUCGUGUCGUGAGAUGUUGGGUUAAGUCCCGCAACGAGCGCAACCCUUGAUCUUAGUUGCCAGCAUUUAGUUGGGCACUCUAAGGUGACUGCCGGUGAUAAACCGGAGGAAGGUGGGGAUGACGUCAAAUCAUCAUGCCCCUUAUGACCUGGGCUACACACGUGCUACAAUGGACGGUACAGAGGGUCGCAACCCCGCGAGGGUGAGCAAAUCCCAUAAAACCGUUCUCAGUUCGGAUUGUAGGCUGCAACUCGCCUACAUGAAGCCGGAAUCGCUAGUAAUCGUGGAUCAGCAUGCCACGGUGAAUACGUUCCCGGGUCUUGUACACACCG